rnacentral:rRNA from 1 species
UACGUAGGGUGCGAGCGUUGUCCGGAAUUAUUGGGCGUAAAGGGCUCGUAGGCGGUCUGUCACGUCGGGAGUGAAAACACGGGGCUUAACCCCGUGCCUGCUUCCGAUACGGGCAGACUAGAGGUAUGCAGGGGAGAACGGAAUUCAUGGUGUAGCGGUGAAAUGCGCAGAUAUCAGGAGGAACACCGGUGGCGAAGGCGGCAUCCUGGACCGACAUUGACGCUGAGGCGCGAAAGCCAGGGGAGCAAACGGG